GCGCCCGUAGCUCAACUGGAUAGAGCACUGGCCUUCUAAGCCAGUUGUUGCAGGUUCGAGUCCUGCCGGGCGCGCCA
rnacentral:tRNA from 1 species